AUUUAUUGUUCUGCUUGCGAGAAGCCUACGUUUGGAACAUGGAAGCAUCUGACCAUACGAUUUGAUUCGGGAGGCGAAUCCCAGCAAAAAUUGAUAUUCAUGUUGCCGAAAAUGAAAGUAAAACUGCACAGACAUGAUGUGUUUGCCAUUCAACAGCUAUUUAAUUGUGCGGAAGGGAAUGUUUGGUCCUUUAUACAAUUGAAAGCGGAAGAACAUAAACCAAUCGAUUCAAAUAUUGCAUGCCAAACUAUUUCCUAUGAAGACAAGGAACAUUUUGCCUCUCUCAAGAGCACAAUAUCUGAUGUUUACAGUGAAUGCAAGGAAUCAGUCUCCUCGUUUGGGAAGUUCUGUAAUCUGCCUUGCCCUCAUUUUUCCGGCAAAUCCUCUUGUGAACAGUUGAUUGUCUGCGACAGAGACUUAUGCAGGUGUCUUCCUGGCCAUCAUUUCAAAGGCAAUGCUUGUGUUCCAGGCCGGCCGGAUAGAGCAAUUAGUGCACGAAAAACCCACGUCACCGAGUUCUCUCCAGAGAGGGACAACGGGGAGGAACCCGUUCAGAAAGAGAUCGAUGAGUUACGAAAUGAAGUACAUGAAAGUCACCGUGUUCAUCUAAUUUGGAAAAUG